CGGGAAUUUUGGGCAAUGGGCGAAAGCCUGACCCAGCAACGCCGCGUGAGGGAUGAAGUAUUUCGGUAUGUAAACCUCGAAAGAAUGGGAAGAAUAAAUGACGGUACCAUUUAUAAGCUCCGGCUAACUACGUGCCAGCAGCCGCGGUAAUACGUAGGGAGCAAGCGUUGUUCGGAUUUACUGGGCGUAAAGGGCGCGUAGGCGGCGCGGUAAGUCACUUGUGAAAUCUCUGAGCUUAACUCAGAACGGCCAAGUGAUACUGCUGUGCUAGAGUGCGGAAGAGGCAACCGGGAUUCUUGGUGUAGCGGUGAAAUGCGUAGAUAUCAAGAGGAACACCUGAGGCGAAGGCGGGUUGCUGGGCCGACACUGACGCUGAUGCGCGAAAGCCAGGGGAGCAAACG
rnacentral:rRNA from 1 species